UAAUUAUAAUCAAUUAUGUUUUCAGCAACCCAACCAAAGUUGACAUUGACAGUUGUGACAGUAAUUAAAUAUUUGAUAGUGAUCAUUGUUGAUUAGCGUUCGAACAACCGGCCCUUAGUUAACCAAAUUCUGCACUCGUGUUGAUUAUGUGUCAAUCUAAUGCCAAUAUUUAUUUUUAGUUGACACCCUGAAAUUCACCGUUGAAUUAUAAUAAGGCGCUAUUGUCAAGGGCACCUAUAUUCAAAAUUCAAGGAUUAAGGCGUAUCAACCUGUCAUGUCACAGGGUAUGGCACCAGAGAAGUUUUACUUGAGUAAAUUUCUUAGCUAACAAAUGCAGUAACACAAAUGUUAGGGUAAUAUUUAAAAAUUAACAGUACUUAUGACACAUCCACUCUCGACCACAGCAUAACGCAAGCUACCUUGUGGCGCUUUUGCUAAUGCUGACAGAGACAAAACCUGAAAUGGUAAUAACGAUAUAGGCGCACUAUGCAGAUUCUAAGAUAACUAAAUUAUAUGACAUUGUUCCACAAUGAAAGUAACGCCUAAUGGAACAUGUUAGGCAAAAAAAAACAGAUUUUUUAGGGUUAUGGCACUAUUGAAGUCGGGAUACAAUAUACUAACAAAAAGGAUACUGAAAUUUAUAAUUUACAAUUUUUCUUAAGUAAAAUAUGGUACAUUUAGGUAGAGGAUAUACUUCGACUUUUGACACCAUUUGGCAUUUGACAUAGACGUUUAAUCUUCUCUUGUCACAUAUAUCCGUCACAGAUAGUACUUGGAAACAUGACAAACGUGAAAAGAUGUUUCUACUUAUUAUUUGUGAUAAUUCUGAGACUGUAGACCAGGCUAGGUAUAUGCCGCUUAAUGCAUUGGGGUGUAACGCCAAUAUCAAGUACGGUGGUCUAGCUAUCUUUGUCUGUCGUACGAGUGUGAGCGUAUCUACCAAGAGGUGGGAGUAAUGGAACGACACGGACACAGAGGCAGCGGCCAUCAUAUGCUAGAAAGAGAAAGCUAAGCGCAAUUAGAGAGAGAAAGAUAACUGCUGCCGAUGAACUGCUUCGCGUUAAGCUAGUUUUCGUAUCUUAUCGAAUCUAUGUAUUAUUCUCUAUGAUCUAUGUCUGAGACACGUCUUGAUAGAUAAAAACGUCAACGUCAAACGUCAGCCUGUUGACAUUUGUCGCUGUCAAUAAUCUUAGUUUCUUGAAUCCACAUAACUUAACAAAUGUGUACCAUUGCGCACAUCCAAAAUCUAGACCGAGAAAUAAAUAGAUAUACAAUAUAUAAAAUAGACAAAUUAAGGAAUUUGAUUCAAUUAGUGAUUUCUACUAUAUCGUCUUCUUCUUUUCAUCAUUACCAUAUGAGUGUUUUGAAGUUUCAACAGUUUCGCUUAGUGAAGCACUAUUGUUCGUUUUAUUAUACUGUCGGAUUAUCUUGUUUUCGGUUUUUAACAUAGUUGCCUAUAUAGUAAAUCGUUAAAAAAUGUAUGUUACAUGCAAAAUAUUUCUAUUAAUAUUAUUUUUUUAAUAUGUUACGAUUGUAAUAAAUUAGCGACUGUUAAAUGUGUUUUGAUUUUAUAUACAAGUUGUAAUUCAAUAAUAAUAAAUUAUGACGGUUAUUAAUUGAAAUCACGUACAGGGUGUACAAAAUUGAAGAAUUUAAACUUUAAGUAUAAUAAUAGUAAAUAAAGUCAAGCUCUUUUUUUGUAGUUGCUCUUUUGCUGUUUUCUUUAUAUUCUGUGUGAUCAUCUUAAUUCAAAAAGUGUAUUUCGAGAUACCUCAACUAUACGUUGUAACCUCCAACGCUUGUGGACCAUCUUCUCCUUCUUCUACCGGUACCUAUGAUAUAGUGAUGUUAGCGACCACAUUGACUUAUCUUAUUCGAUUCUAUAACUCGAAAUUCUAUAGCUCGAAAUAAAUCAUUUGAUGUUAGACCAUCAAUCCAGUUGCCGUCAAUCAUGCAAUGUUAGACCAGUUGCCAUCAAUCUUGCCUUGUAGAAUCAACUGUAGAAGUCGGUAUUUACUAUUACGCAUAGUGUGGCCGAAAUAAGCCAAUUUCUGUUCUUUACGGUGUUAAUAAUAGCUUUAUCUUUUCUUAGCCUCUGGAGAAGAGUUACGUUAGUUGUUUUGUGUUUAUAUGAGACACUUAUCAUGACGGUAGCAUCAUAUUUCACAUGUCUCUAAUCGUUUUAUGAUAUCUACUGCAAAACUCCAGUUUUCUACUCCGUAUAGGACAAAGAAUACAUAUCUACCACUAGGUAGGUAGGUAUUCUUUGUAUAGGAGGAUACUAAGACGUAACAUCUAAGAAUUCUGAUGUGUAUAUUGAUACUUAAUCUUGAUGAUGUGGUAGAUAUGUAUUCUUUGAUUAAGGAUUCAGAACUUCAACUUACAUAGAAUCUUCCGAAGGCCGUUACAAAACACCUGUGUUUUUAUUUCGUAGCUAUGA
rnacentral:lncRNA from 1 species